rnacentral:rRNA from 1 species
UACGUAGGGUCCGAGCGUUGUCCGGAAUUACUGGGCGUAAAGAGCUCGUAGGUGGUUUGUCGCGUUGUCCGUGAAAACUCACAGCUUAACUGUGGGCGUGCGGGCGAUACGGGCAGACUGGAGUACUGCAGGGGAGACUGGAAUUCCUGGUGUAGCGGUGGAAUGCGCAGAUAUCAGGAGGAACACCGGUGGCGAAGGCGGGUCUCUGGGCAACAACUGACGCUGAGGAGCGAAAGCGUGGGGAGCGAACAGG